GACGAACGCUGGCGGCGUGCUUAACACAUGCAAGUCGAACGGAAAGGCCCUGCUUUUGUGGGGUGCUCGAGUGGCGAACGGGUGAGUAACACGUGAGUAACCUGCCCUUGACUUUGGGAUAACUUCAGGAAACUGGGGCUAAUACCGGAUAGAAGCUCCUGCUGCAUGGUGGGGGUUGGAAAGUUUCGGCGGUUGGGGAUGGACUCGCGGCUUAUCAGCUUGUUGGUGGGGUAGUGGCUUACCAAGGCUUUGACGGGUAGCCGGCCUGAGAGGGUGACCGGCCACAUUGGGACUGAGAUACGGCCCAGACUCCUACGGGAGGCAGCAGUGGGGAAUAUUGCACAAUGGGCGGAAGCCUGAUGCAGCAACGCCGCGUGCGGGAUGACGGCCUUCGGGUUGUAAACCGCUUUCGCCUGUGACGAAGCGUGAGUGACGGUAAUGGGUAAAGAAGCACCGGCUAACUACGU
rnacentral:rRNA from 1 species